rnacentral:rRNA from 1 species
ACGGAAGGCAGCAGUAGGGAAUCUUCCGCAAUGGACGAAAGUCUGACGGAGCAACGCCGCGUGAGUGAAGAAGGUUUUCGGAUCGUAAAACUCUGUUGUUAAAGAAGAACAAGGAUGAGAGUAACUGCUCAUCCCCUGACGGUAUUUAACCAGAAAGCCACGGCUAACUACGUGCCAGCAGCCGCGGUAAUACGUAGGUGGCAAGCGUUGUCCGGAUUUAUUGGGCGUAAAGCGAGCGCAGGCGGUUCUUUAAGUCUGAUGUGAAAGCCCCCGGCUCAACCGGGGAGGGUCAUUGGAAACUGGAGAACUUGAGUGCAGAAGAGGAGAGUGGAAUUCCACGUGUAGCGGUGAAAUGCGUAGAUAUGUGGAGGAACACCAGUGGCGAAGGCGACUCUCUGGUCUGUAACUGACGCUGAGGCUCGAAAGCGUGGGGAGCAAACAGGAUUAGAUACCCUGGUA